rnacentral:rRNA from 1 species
UGGGGAAUUUUGGACAAUGGGCGCAAGCCUGAUCCAGCCAUGCCGCGUGCAGGAUGAAGGCCUUCGGGUUGUAAACUGCUUUUGUACGGAACGAAAAGGUUUGGCCUAAUAAGCUGAGCUCAUGACGGUACCGUAAGAAUAAGCACCGGCUAACUACAUGCCAGCAGCCGCGGUAAUACGUAGGGUGCGAGCGUUAAUCGGAAUUACUGGGCGUAAAGCGUGCGCAGGCGGUUAUGUAAGACAGAUGUGAAAUCCCCGGGCUCAACCUGGGAACUGCAUUUGUGACUGCAUGGCUAGAGUACGGUAGAGGGGGAUGGAAUUCCGCGUGUAGCAGUGAAAUGCGUAGAUAUGCGGAGGAACACCGAUGGCGAAGGCAGCCAUCUGGCCUAAUACUGACGCUGAGGUUCGAAAGCAAGGGGAGCAAACA